GGUAUAAAAGAAAGUGAAGUUGGAAUAAUUGGGGUUAGAGUUAUGGAAUGAAAGGUUAUUGAAGAAAUGAAGGAGAGGUAGAUAUAUUAGUAGGAUUUUGGUAAAUAUGAAGGAAUUGAAUGAGAAAAAGCUUGAGGUUGAUGAGUGAAAGUAAAUUGUGUAGGUGGUAUAUUUUUGGUAACUCCAGCUGGUGCUGCCACUAUUACUACUACAAUGCCAACUAAUUAUUGUUAUGAUUACCUUGAAAAGCAGGUAGAUGGGAUAGACCACCUGGACAAAGGGGUACAUUGCCCUUUAUUUUAAGGGGUAGGGGACCAAUAAACAUACCCAGUCAAGGGGGCAGGC
rnacentral:lncRNA from 1 species